rnacentral:rRNA from 1 species
UGGGGAAUCUUGCGCAAUGGUCGCAAGGCUGACGCAGCGACGCCGCGUGGAGGACGAAGGCCUUCGGGUUGUAAACUCCUUUUCUGGGGGACGAAUAAGGUCAGUAGGUAAUGGCUGACCGAUGACGGUACCCCAGGAACAAGCGCCGGCUAACUUCGUGCCAGCAGCCGCGGUAAUACGAAGGGCGCAAGCGUUAUCCGGAAUUACUGGGCGUAAAGGGCGUCUAGGCGGUCGGUCAAGUCAGUCGUGAAAGUCCUUGGCUAAACUGAGGAAAGUCGACCGAUACUGAUCGGCUAGAGGGACGUAGAGGUAAGCGGAACUCUCGGAGUAGCGGUGAAAUGCGUAGAGACCGAGAGGUACCCCGAUGGUGAAGACAGCUUACUGGGCGUCUCCUGACGCUGAAGCGCUAAGGCCAGGGGAGCGAAGG